rnacentral:rRNA from 1 species
AGUGAACGCUGGCGGUAGGCCUAACACAUGCAAGUCGAACGGCAGCACAGUAAGAGCUUGCUCUUACGGGUGGCGAGUGGCGGACGGGUGAGGAAUACAUCGGAAUCUACUUUUUCGUGGGGGAUAACGUAGGGAAACUUACGCUAAUACCGCAUACGACCUACGGGUGAAAGCAGGGGAUCUUCGGACCUUGCGCGAUUGAAUGAGCCGAUGUCGGAUUAGCUAGUUGGCGGGGUAAAGGCCCACCAAGGCGACGCACCGUAGCUGGUCUGAGAGGAUGAUCCGCCACACUGGAACUGGGACACGGUCCAGACUCCUACGGGAGGCAGCAGUGGGGAAUAUUGGAGAAUGGGCGCAAGCCUGAUCCAGCCAUACCGGGUGGGUGAAGAAGGCCUUCGGGUUGUAAAGCCCUUUUGUUGGGAAAGAAAAGCAGCAGGUUAAUACCCCGCUGUUCUGACGGUACCCAAAGAAUAAGCACCGGCUAACUUCGUG